UAAUACGGAGGGUGCAAGCGUUAAUCGGAAUUACUGGGCGUAAAGCGCACGCAGGCGGUUUGUUAAGUCAGAUGUGAAAUCCCCGGGCUCAACCUGGGAACUGCAUUUGAAACUGGCAAGCUAGAGUCUCGUAGAGGGGGGUAGAAUUCCAGGUGUAGCGGUGAAAUGCGUAGAGAUCUGGAGGAAUACCGGUGGCGAAGGCGGCCCCCUGGACGAAGACUGACGCUCAGGUGCGAAAGCGUGGGGAGCAAACAGGAUUAGAUACCCUGGUAGUCCACGCUGUAAACGAUGUCGAUUUGGAGGUUGUGCCCUUGAGGCGUGGCUUUCGGAGCUAACGCGUUAAAUCGACCGCCUGGGGAGUACGGCCGCAAGGUUA
rnacentral:rRNA from 1 species